GCUCUCCGCCUCUUUGUCUGCUCUGGGACUUGGAACAAAAGGGGGAACUCUGAUGAACUCCUUCUCCCGCUCCCUGGACGCCCGAGUAUCUCUUUCUCGCAACUUUGUCAACGCGACUUUCUCCGCUGUCAGGCUGCGCAAAAGUGUCCUAGCGCCUCGCAGGCUGCAACAAUGGAAACAAUGUCCCCUCAAAGUGCGACGAAGUGGACGGAGAAGGUGUCAAUCCAGCGGCUCUAAGUGUCAUGUCACUUAGCAGGAGUACUUCCUACUGAAAUGCCUUCGAAUUAUUCGUCUUGGAUACAUAUAUAUCUACCAGCCACUAUCAUGGAGAUGCCAGGACCACAGCAAGUUAGCACUGGAUGAAAUACCAUCAACUUCUUCAUUUAGAGUUUCUUCAGUUGAAUUGUCAGGAUUUUUCACAAGGCUUCCCUUAUGUGGAUUAUUGGAGUGUGAUGCCGAGGAAUUCUCCCCUUAUAGAAGUACUCCCACGUGACUGCAGAAGCCUUCACACCCAGCAUGUUCAG